AUUCCCAUUUUAGUACUGUUUUUUUCACCUUAUUGAAUAAACAGCUAUGCUAAUGGGAUAGAGUAACCAUUGCUGUUGUCUGAAGGGGUUGAUGGCCUGUCAUCUUCUCUUACAUGAAUUAGCAGUACAACACUUC